UCCGGUUUGGCACCGGCAGUCUUCCCAGAGUCCUCGGCACGACCCGGUAGCAACUGGGAACGGGGGUUGCGCUCGUUGCGGGACUUAACCCAACAUCUCACGACACGAGCUGACGACAGCCAUGCAGCACCUGUGCUGGGACUCCGAAGAGGGGCCUACGUUUCUGUAGGCUUUCCCCAGCAUGUCAAGCCCGGGUAAGGUUCUUCGCGUUGCGUCGAAUUAAACCACAUGCUCCACCGCUUGUGCGGGCCCCCGUCAAUUCCUUUGAGUUUCAGCCUUGCGGCCGUACUCCCCAGGCGGGGCACUUAAUGCGUUAGCGCCGGCACCCGGGGGGUCGCUCCCCCAGGCACCUAGUGCCCAUCGUUUACGGCGUGGACUAC
rnacentral:misc_RNA from 1 species